rnacentral:rRNA from 1 species
UACGGAGGGUGCAAGCGUUAUCCGGAUUUACUGGGUUUAAAGCGUGCGCAGGCGGUGGCUCAAGCCAGGCGUGAAAUCCCCGGGCUUAACCUGGGAAUGGCGUUUGGGACUGGGUCGCUAGAGUGUGGCAGAGGGAGGUGGAAUUCCACGUGUAGCAGUGAAAUGCGUAGAGAUGUGGAGGAACACCGAUGGCGAAGGCAGCCUCCUGGGCCAGCACUGACGCUCAUGCACGAAAGCGUGGGGAGCAAACAGG